UACGUAGGGCGCAAGCGUUAUCCGGAAUUAUUGGGCGUAAAGAGCUCGUAGGCGGUUUGUCGCGUCUGCCGUGAAAGCCCGGGGCUUAACUCCGGGUCUGCAUUCGAUACGGGCAGGCUAGAGUGUGGUAGGGGAGAUCGGAAUUCCUGGUGUAGCGGUGAAAUGCGCAGAUAUCAGGAGGAACACCGGUGGCGAAGGCGGGUCUCUGGGCAGUAACUGACGCUGAGGAACGAAAGCGUGGGUAGCAAACAGG
rnacentral:rRNA from 1 species